rnacentral:lncRNA from 1 species
UCUUCCUUCAUUGCUUGUUCAAGACUGACUGGCUCAGAUUCAGCUAGCAUAGCUAGUUGAAUUAGUUCACCAUCAUCAGCCACUGCAGUAUCUGGAAACCUCACACAAUCAUUCAGCCUUUGUGGAGCUUGUACAUUUCUAGUUGGUCUUUCAGAUGCACCUCCUUGAUUUGUGUUCACCUCUUGUACUGGUGAUUCAGUAUCAUUGAGAUACACCAUACUAUUCUUCCUUGAUGAGCC